rnacentral:misc_RNA from 1 species
UUGAUUUCAAUUCAGAAAUUUGGAUUCAGACACAGUUUUACUGCAAGUUUGAAUUUGUGCCAGCGGCAGGCUUACAGGCGAGGUGCCCAGCUACCGAAGCGAAAAUUUGGUUUGGUUCACAAAUGGUUGAAGCGUCAAGGCUCAAGGCCAGGACAGCUGUUAUUUGGUAAUGAUCCUUCCGCAGGUUCACCUACGGAAA